rnacentral:tRNA from 1 species
UCUAAAAUGGCAGACGGAUGCGUAGGAUUUAAGCUCCUACUAGGAAGAUUUCUUCUUUUAGAA